rnacentral:tRNA from 1 species
AAGGUUUUAGCUUAAUUAAAGCAUCUGGGUUGCAUUUAGAAGAUGUAAGAUAGAGUCUUGCAAAUCUUA